rnacentral:rRNA from 1 species
AUGCCACCAGUUCUGGAGAGUGAUAUGCAUAGCAGGGAAUAUCUUGCGGAACAGAAACGCAAGGGUGAGGUGUAUUUGAAGGAAAGAGAUGCAAGGAUUGCGGAACGCAAGGCUGCGGAGCGGCAGUCUCUUAAAGACAUACAAAGCUUAGCUCGUAGCCUUGUAUACCCUAGUGCCUCUAAUGCGCAACCGACACAAAAUACACGAGGUGCUGAUGAUCGCAGUGACUCCGAGUAUGAACCAGAUGCUGAAGAGGAGGCCCAUGUAGAGGAAGAGGAUUUGAGAGAUGAAGAGGAGGUCGCUGUUGCUAAGUCCAAAGCAAUGGCACCUGAAGGUUCUACCAUGCCAAAAACGAAAAAGCGUGUCAGAUCCAAAAAUAGUGCAGCUGCUACCUCAAGAAUAACAAGAUCUAGAGCUACCGCAACAACUCAGUCAAUUCAAGCUACAAACCAUCAAGAACAGUCUGCACCAAAUCCAACAAACACAUCACCUCACCUAACUUCUAAGGAUAGCAACUCGCUUGACGCUGAUUCAGGGCUUGUAAUGUAG